UACGUAGGCAGCAAGCGUUGUUCGGAAUUACUGGGCGUAAAGAGUGUGUAGGCGGUGUUCUAAGUCUGUUGUGAAAUCUCCCGGCUUAACCGGGAGGGUGCGGCGAAUACUGAGAUGCUGGAGUGCCGGAGAGGUAAGCGGAAUUCCUGGUGUAGCGGUGAAAUGCGUAGAUAUCAGGAGGAACACCUGCGGUGUAGACGGCUUACUGGACGGUAACUGACGCUGAGGCACGAAAGCGUGGGUAGCAAACAGG
rnacentral:rRNA from 1 species